rnacentral:pre_miRNA from 1 species
CAACUAUAGGCACAAUUUCAAGACCAUUGAGAACCUAAGAGGCAAUAUUCUUGCUGCCACCUUUAAGAAUUCCAUGAUUGUCCUACAGAUUAACAAUGAUCAUCUGGCUAUCGAUG